CAUCGGUUUAUGAUUUAAUGAAAAAAUAUAGAAAAUUGUUAAGCUGUUUUUUUUUUUCAGGAAGGAAAAUAAUGUUUGCAUCGAGAAAAAUAGCCCCUCCCCUAUAAAUGAUCAUUAAUUUACCUAAGUGGGAGCUUAAAUUUUGGACACCGAUCGCGAGGCCUGACUGCCAUAAACAACAGAUUACGAACAGCAAACAGUGGAUACACCAAUUCAUUGAUAUGUAUGAAAGACAACGACGGAC
rnacentral:lncRNA from 1 species